UACAGGGGGUGCAAACGUUGCUCGGAAUCAUUGGGCGUAAAGCGCACGUAGGCGGUUCGUUAUGUCGGAUGUGAAAGCCCUUGGCUUAACCGAGGAAGUGCAUCCGAAACUGGCGAGCUAGAGUACUAAAGAGGAUCGCGGAAUUCCCGGUGUAGAGGUGAAAUUCGUAGAUAUCGGGAGGAACACCGGUGGCGAAGGCGGCGAUCUGGGUAGAUACUGACGCUGAGGUGCGAAAGCGUGGGAGCAACAGG
rnacentral:rRNA from 1 species